UACGUAGGGUGCGAGCGUUGUCCGGAAUUAUUGGGCGUAAAGGGCUCGUAGGCGGUUUGUCGCGUCGGGAGUGAAAACCCAGGGCUUAACCCUGGGCUGGCUUCCGAUACGGGCAGACUAGAGGUAUGCAGGGGGAGAACGGAAUUCCUGGUGUAGCGGUGAAAUGCGCAGAUAUCAGGAGGAACACCAAUGGCGAAGGCAGCUCGCUGGAACGGUACUGACGCUGAGGCGCGAAAGCGUGGGGAGCGAACAGG
rnacentral:rRNA from 1 species